ACAAACUUGGUCAUUUAGAGGAAGUAAAAGUCGUAACAAGGUUUCCGUAGGUGAACCUGCGGAAGGAUCAUUACCGAACGGACGCGCCGUGCCCUCGCGGGCCUCCGGCCGUCUUCUUCGAACACCCCUGUGAACUUGUGAUUCGUGUCCCCCGGGACGACGCGCGCCGGCCCGGCUCACCACACCACACACAAACCACGUCUUCUGACCUCUUGACUGAGACCAAUGUUGGCGCACGCCGCGUUGCGGCGCGCACCGACGACAAGACCGAACUAUCACAACUUUUAACAACGGAUAUCUUGGCUCGCGCAUCGAUGAAGAACGCAGC
rnacentral:misc_RNA from 1 species